CAAAUUGCGGUGAAUACGUUCCCGGGUCUUGUACACACCGCCCGUCAAACCAUGAAGGUGACCAACACCCGAAGUCCGAUUCGUCGGCCUAAGGUGGGGGGCAUGAUUGGGGUU
rnacentral:rRNA from 1 species